rnacentral:rRNA from 1 species
UACGGAGGGUGCAAGCGUUAAUCGGAAUUACUGGGCGUAAAGCGUGCGCAGGCGGUUGUGCAAGACAGAUGUGAAAUCCCCGGGCUUAACCUGGGAAUGGCAUUGGUGACUGUACGGCUAGAGUGUGUCAGAGGGGGGUAGAAUUCCACGUGUAGCAGUGAAAUGCGUAGAGAUGUGGAGGAAUACCGAUGGCGAAGGCAGCCCCCUGGGAUAACACUGACGCUCAUGCACGAAAGCGUGGGGAGCAAACAGG